rnacentral:rRNA from 1 species
CCUACGGGUGGCAGCAGUGAGGAAUAUUGGUCAAUGGACGAGAGUCUGAACCAGCCAAGUAGCGUGAAGGAUGACUGCCCUAUGGGUUGUAAACUUCUUUUAUAUGGGAAUAAAAUGUUCCACGUGUGGGAUUUUGUAUGUACCAUAUGAAUGAGGAUCGGCUAACUCCGUGCCAGCAGCCGCGGUAAUACGGAGGAUCCGAGCGUUAUCCGGAUUUAAUGGGUUUAAAGGGAGCGGAGGGGGAUUGUUAAGUCAGGUGUGAAAGUUUGCGGCUUAACCGUAGAAUUGCAGUUGAAACUGGCAGUCUUGAGUGCAGGAGAGGUAGGCGGAAGUCGUGGUGUAGCGGUGAAAUGCUUAGAUAUCACGAAGAACUCCGAUGGCGAAGGCAGUUCACUGGACUGCAACUGACGCUGAGGCUCGAAAGUGUGGGUAUCAAACAGGAUUAGAUACCCGUGUAGUC